rnacentral:rRNA from 1 species
AUGCAAGUCGAGCGAAUGAUGAAGAAGCUUGCUUCUUCUGAUUUAGCGGCGGACGGGUGAGUAACACGUGGGCAACCUACCUAGUAGAUUGGGAUAACUCCGGGAAACCGGGGCUAAUACCGAAUAAUCCAUUUUGUCACAUGGCAAAAUGCUGAAAGGCGGUUUCGGCUGUCACUACUAGAUGGGCCCGCGGUGCAUUAGCUAGUUGGUGGGGUAAUGGCCUACCAAGGCAACGAUGCAUAGCCGACCUGAGAGGGUGAUCGGCCACAUUGGGACUGAGACACGGCCCAAACUCCUACGGGAGGCAGCAGUAGGGAAUCUUCCACAAUGGACGAAAGUCUGAUGGAGCAACGCCGCGUGAGUGAUGAAGGUUUUCGGAUCGUAAAACUCUGUUGUAAGGGAAGAACAAGUACGUUAGUAACUGAACGUACCUUGACGGUACCUUAUUAGAAAGCCACGGCUAACUACGUGCCAGCAGCCGCGGUAAUACGUAGGUGGCAAGCGUUGUCCGGAUUUAUUGGGCGUAAAGCGCGCGCAGGUGGUUUCUUAAGUCUGAUGUGAAAGCCCACGGCUCAACCGUGGAGGGUCAUUGGAAACUGGGAGACUUGAGUGCAGAAGAGGAAAGUGGAAUUCCAAGUGUAGCGGUGAAAUGCGUAGAGAUUUGGAGGAACACCAGUGGCGAAGGCGACUUUCUGGUCUGUAACUGACACUGAGGCGCGAAAGCGUGGGGAGCAAACAGGAUUAGAUACCCUGGUAGUCCACGCCGUAAACGAUGAGU